AUUGAACGCUGGCGGCAUGCCUAAUACAUGCAAGUCGAGCGGAGCUGCGGACGGGUGAGUAAUGACUAGUAAGAUGCAUGGUAGUGGGGGAUAACGUCCGGAAACGGGAGCUUAUACCGCAUACUAUCAGAGCAGUUUCGGUGGGAUUAGCUAGUAGUGGGGGUAAUGGCCUACCAAGGCGACGAUCCGACACUGGUCUGAGAGGAUGAUCAGUCACACUGGAACUGAGACACGGUCCAGACUCCUACGGGAGGCAGCAGUGGGGAAUAUUGGACAAUGGGCGAAAGCCUGACCCAGCCAUGCCGCGUGUGUGAAGAAGGUCUUCGGAUUGUAAAGCACUUUAAGUUGGGAGGCGUUACCAACAGAAUAAGCACCGGCUAACUUCGUGCCAGCAGCCGCGGUAAUAC
rnacentral:rRNA from 1 species